GCAGACACAUUCCAGCCAAUCAGCAGCAGACCCUCCCUCCCAUACCCUCCCACCUCCUGGACAGCUCACUAAGAAUGCAGCUUCACAAUGAAUGUAAAAUGGAUGCUGUCCAAGAGGUGGGAGGGUCUGGGAGGGAGGGUCUGCUGCUGAUUGGCUGGAGUGUGUCU
rnacentral:miRNA from 1 species